GUCGAGGAUCAUUCGCAAUGGGCGAAAGCCUGACGAUGCGACGCCGCGUGAGCGAAGAAGGCCUUCGGGUUGUAAAGCUCUUUGAGCAGGGACGAACGCUUUCCCGUCAACAACGGGUAGAGCCUGACGGUACCUGCAGAACAAGCCACGGCUAACCUCGUGCCAGCAGCCGCGGUAAUACGAGGGUGGCAAGCGUUGUUCGGAUUUACUGGGCGUAAAGGGGGUCUAGGUGGUGUGCUAAGUCCUCUGUGAAACUCCGGAGCUUAACUCCGGGACUGCAGGGGAAACUGGCAUGCUUGAGCGCGUAAGACGCAUGCGGAAUACUGGGUGUAGCGGUGAAAUGCGUAGAUAUCCAGUAGAACACCUGCGGCGAAAGCGGCCUGCGUGUACGCUGCUGACACUGACGCCCGAAAGCGUGGGGAGCAAACAGGAUUAGAAACCCGUGUAGUCC
rnacentral:rRNA from 1 species